UUGGUUUCAUUGCUUUUGAGCUUGUGGUA
rnacentral:piRNA from 2 species